GGCUGAAGGUCUGCUCGGUGCUGCACAAGGGAAGGGGGCUGAGUCCAGAUAACUCAGACUUGAUUCCAGAAUCCACGUGCCCUCAUUGUCCAUCAUGACUCCGAGCCCCAUGAAGGUCUCCUGCUUCUCCACUACCUAAGCAGAAAUGAUCACUCAUAUCUGAAACUCCCACAACAAUUUGAGGGCUGUUUUCUACUACAUUCGACUUCCCUCCUGGACUAGGAUGUUGGUAUGGCAAAUGGCAGAAACGUGUACAAACAACUAAUUUUCAACACGACACCAAGAAAAUAAAGAGAUCUCCUCGGUUCCCUGA